GACGAACGCUGGCGGCGUGCUUAACACAUGCAAGUCGAGCGGUAAGGCCCGUUUCGGGGGUACACGAGCGGCGAACGGGUGAGUAACACGUGGGUGACCUGCCCUCAGCUCUGGGAUAAGCCUGGGAAACCGGGUCUAAUACCGGAUACGACUCCAUGACGCAUGUUGUGGGGUGGAAAGCCUUGUGCGGCUGAGGAUGGGCCCGCGGCCUAUCAGCUUGUUGGUGGGGUGAUGGCCACCAAGGCGACGACGGUAGCCGGCCUGAGAGGGCGACCGGCCACACUGGGACUGAGACACGGCCCAGACUCCUACGGGAGGCANCGGAGUGGGGAAU
rnacentral:rRNA from 1 species